AUUGAACGCUGGCGGCAGGCCUAACACAUGCAAGUCGAGCGGAGCGGCGGACGGGGGAGUAUUGCCUAGGAAUCUGCCUGGGAGUGGGGGAUAACGUCCGGAAACGGGCGCUAAUACCGCUAACUAUUAGCUGAGCCUAGGUCGGAUUAGCUAGUGGUGGGGGUAAAGGCCUACCAAGGCGACGGUCCGUAACUGGUCUGAGAGGAUGAUCAGCCACACUGGAACUGAGACACGGUCCAGACUCCUACGGGAGGCAGCAGUGGGGAAUAUUGGACAAUGGGCGCAAGCCUGAUACAGCCAUGCCGCGUGUAUGAAGAAGGCCUUCGGGUUGUAAAGUACUUUCAGCGAGGAGGCGUUACUCGCAGAAGAAGCACCGGCUAACUCCGUGCCAGCCGCCGCGGUAAUUC
rnacentral:rRNA from 1 species